GGGGUUGUACGCUAACCUGGCAGACUGCUAGCUUCGGGAGCUAGUAAUCCGAGUUCAAAUCUCGGCAGCCCCA
rnacentral:tRNA from 2 species